AAGCGCAUUCACGUGUGCCCAGUCAGCGCUCCGACGUGACUUGCGCAGUGGAGCGAUCCUCUUACCAGGUACACGCACGCACAGGCACGCCCGCAUUUCUCUAGGCUCACCACACAGCGGCAUUUUGCUUGACGGCGCGUGCCCAGUGUAGGCCUCCCUCCGUGUACGUUAGCUCCAUGUCCUACAGUUUCUCUACUGUCAACGGCGUGCUGCCGCUGGGUACCCAGCGUGCAUACGUUCCACGAGCUUCGCGACCGCAUCUUGCCUGGUCCGCUGCGCCUUCGUCUCGAGUUAUAGGAAGCCAAUGCCGACUAAGAGGCGACGGAACAGCCGCGCGCGAGCAGACCCGCGGCACAGAGUGCACGGGGGCAGAGGGAGGCGAAGCCGCGUUCACGUCAGCCUCCUCUACUGAGCUUGGCUUGGCGGGGUUGCUCACGACGGACGCGGCAUCUGGCACGCGUCUCACCCUCUACUCCGAUCCCGAUUCACCACAGCUGCCGUUGUGCAGUGCGCCCAUUCCGUCGCAGCGGCGCGUGGUGGCACUGUGGAUUCCACCAACGAGCACCAGUGCCGAGAAGGACGGUGACAGCAACGUAUGUGCCAUGGCACCGCUCUUCGUCAGUGACGACACGGGAGGUGUUUUCGCCUACCAAUGGAGCGGCUCAGACGGCUUGCGUGAGCCAGCAGAAAAGCGUCGCCGUACCGACGUGGACACGGGGCGCGCGCUCAGUGAAGACAAGGACGGCGUGUGGACCCCUGUGGCGCGGGCGCACUCCGCAUUAUCCUCGGAUGUAGCGCGAAUGCAAUCCCGCAGGUCCGCCAUGUCGAACCUCUUCGCCGUUACCCGUGGCGCGCCGGGCUGGGCCGGGCUAACGGCACUGCAUGCCUCGCUGCCGUGCAGCGCGGCGUUGCAGCUGGUGUCGGCGCGAGAGUUCUACCAUGACGUGCGCCUCAUUGACCCCACGCGACAGGCCGUCGUGCGCACCUACAGCACUACGCACGCCCCCACUGGUGUGUUCUGCCCCUCUGUGCAGGCCGCCCCCCACUGCACUCUUAUCGCCGAGGGUUGUCUGGCAACACUGUAUGAUGUGCGAUGCCCGAGUGCCGUCGUGUCGCUCGGCGAGGUGCACGAGUCGCAGGCGGAGUGGCGAGCCGCCAAGGACGCCGCGGCCGCGGGGACUCAUAAGCAGGAUGGCAGUGACGUCGAGGGCGGCGAGCAGGGGAACGGCAAGAGUCCCGAAGGCGUCAGCGCUGCUGCCGCACUGGCCCCCAUACCACCUCUCAUUCCUGGCCGCCUUACCAGCACGGUUGGCCAAGUGCGUGACAUCUGCGGCACCGUGAACCCGUUUGAAGUGGCGUGCGCGGUGGAUCGUGCGCUCUGCGUGUACGACCUUCGCAAGUUCAACCGCCUCUUUACCUCUUCGAGCGUUCUGAAGUACGUCAUUGGGAGCGUAGCUUCCGUGGCGGGCGGCCGUGGCGUUGUGUGUGCCGGCAUCGACGCCGAGGUGCGGCUCAUCCCACUGCACGAGAAGUCCGACACGUUGUCCAAGGAGAUGCUGUCGCUGGCUGCGCGUGUCGUCACGCAGGCCCAGCAAAAGAAGAAGCAGCGCAGUGACACCCGCAAGCCUGAAAUGCAGGACAGCAAGGCCGCCGGCGGAGCGGACGCCAACGCCGUGGGCCCAGGCGGAACGUUUCGCACGCGCCUCAGCACCUCUGUCAGCUGUACGACGACGUGGCAGGGCGCGUGGGUGACCGCAUGCAACGGGGGCGGCGCAGUCGCAGUGGGCGUGUCGGUGGAUGGUGAGGUGUUCCUGGCUCAGUGACGCAUUUUGAGAGACGCCGUGGGCUGGAGAAACGAACUCGACUUUCUCCCUCGACGUUUUCUUCCGAGUCGAGCUUAUCUAGCGUGUGGCAUCACCAGCAGCGGCGGCUGGCCGUACCACCUGUAGACCGCCGCAGUGAGAGAAAGCAUGGGCUGCCUUGCCUUUCCCUCCAACGUUCGUUUGCUGUUUUACAUUCGCAAGUGCCCUUCGCAGACGUCAGCAGGGCGCGCCCAUCAAUCGUGGGUGUGCAUCUGUGUGUCUCUUCUCCCGUUCUCUCGCUCACAUAAAGCAAGCUAUAUAUAUGCGUGUGUGCGUGUGCAUGCGUGAGCCUCAAUCGCAGGCACAGUCACGACAACAGACCGCUGUUGCGUUGAUGCACUGACAAAACACGCAUGUCCGUGUCCACGCACGUUCCCUCGUCGACCCCGCCCCCCUCCCCCUCUUUCCCGCUCAGUAACAUCGCUCUUUCACCACGAUG
rnacentral:misc_RNA from 1 species